rnacentral:rRNA from 1 species
GAUGAGCGCUGGCGGCGUGACUAAUACAUGCAAGUCGAGCGAACGGACGAGAAGCUUGUUUCUCUGAUGUUAGCGGCUGACGGGUGAGUAACACGUGGAUAACCGACCUAUAAGACUGGGAUAACUUCGUGAAACCGGAGCUAAUACCGGAUAAUAUUUUGAACCGCAUGGUUCAAAAGUGUAAGACCGUCUUGCUGUCUCUUAUAGAUGGAUCCUCGCUGCAUUAGCUAGUUGGUAAGGUAACGGCUUACCAAGGCAACGAUGCAUAGCCGACCUGAGAGGGUGAUCGGCCACACUGGAACUGAGACACGGUCCAGACUCCUACGGGAGGCAGCAGUAGGGAAUCUUCCGCAAUGGGCGAAAGCCUGACGGAGCAACGCCGCGUGAGUGAUGAAGGUCUUCGGAUCGUAAAACUCUGUUAUUAGGGAAGAACAUAUGUGUAAGUAACUGUGCACAUCUUGACGGUAACUAAUCAGAAAGCCACGGCUAACUACGUG